GGGCAACAGGAAGACAACGUCACAGGAGCUCUUUGUGUGGCCUUGCCGACACCCUGUGGCUGCAGAAGCCUUGCCAGAACAUUCUGUAAGCUGGUUAUGGACUGCUGCCUGAGCCAGAUGACCAUGAGGAGAACAAGACACUGUUGCUCACAGCAGGGCUCUGGGCUGUGCAGCUGACAUCCAGUGACCUUGUUUUCCUAACAUGUUUUCCAAUCUGAAGUGUGGAACUGGGUCAGAAAUUCCUGCUGCGCGCUAAGACGAUAAAUUGCUCGUUCCUAAAGGGGCACGGGAACGACUAGGUUCUCAUCUUGAAAGUGUGAACUUAUUACAAAAAAGGAACCUUCAGGUGACCGAUUUUUCUUCAAUUCCGUCUUCUAAGACAAUCUCUUGUUAAAAUGGAUUUUAAGGAUGGGGAACUGAAAAACAGAAACAAAAGGAAACAGAAACCCCCUAAUAUGUUUUAAAAAGAAACAGAGAAAAAAAGAUUUCCUACAACUGAGAGUUCUGAGUUUUAGUUGUCCUCUGUAAGCUGAGGUUAUUUAACCUGCAGUACAUCCAAAGCCUCCACAGCAGAAUGACUGUGACACUUCAGACCCCACCAAGGACGGCAGAGGUGCAUGCCCCCAAAUCCUGGGGGACAGGCUCCCACCAUGAUGUGCACUUUUCUAUCCACCUGAAGAAUGAGGACAAGACUGGACCAAGACCUGUAGAAGUGUGAGCCACAGCGAGCCUUUUCUCUUUCUACUCUGCUUACCUCGGGUGUUUUGUAUUGGCCACAGAGAGCCGACUAGCAGAAAAGACACAGGAGAGUGGUGUGGCUAGAGAGUUCUGGAGAAAAGCAGGCCUCAGGCUCCGCGCUGGCUCUCUGGACCUCACACGGCAUUAGAACAUCUGGAUAGAUCGGGAACGACAGCAGUCUCCUGGUUCUCCCUGCUGCUCUGCUUCAGGGUCUUCCUGCCUCCAUCCUGGUGCCAGUGUAGACGGCAGCAGGGGGGUUAUGGGGAGGAAGGGGCUGACUGGUGGAGAGUGAGGUACGGAGGGGUCCCUCUGCCCUUUCUUACUGUGACUAUUACUACAGAAGAGCAGCGCAAGACAUGUGGUAGUCUGAGUGUAACUGGCCCCCAUAAGCUCGUAGGGAGUGGCACCAUCAGGAGGUGUGGCUUUGUUGGGGUGGGUGUGCUCUUGUUGGAGGAAGUGUGUCACUGUGGGGGCGGGCUCUGAGUUUUCCUAUGCUCAAGCUACUCCCAGCGUCACAGUCCACUUCCUGUUGCCUGCAGAUCAAGAUGUAGCCAGACCAUGUCUGCCUGCACGCUGCCAUGAAGAUAAUGGACUGAACCUCUGAAACUGUGAGCCACCACCUCAGUGAAAUGUUUUCCUUUAUAAGAAUUGCCAUGGUCAUGGUGUCUCUUCACAGCAAUAGAAAUGCUAACUAAGACAAGAAAGCUCUGAUAUAUUGACUCUGCAGUGGGCCCCACCUCAAAGCCCUGUCUACAGACCUAACCUGUACAGGUGUAGUGGUAUUUGCUCCGCCCAUGACCUUGGGCUAUAUGGCCCAAAGGAGGCGGUGCUUCCCGCCAUUGUAUGUGACCUCUUAUAAGGGGUUGGAGAAGGGUCACAUGCCCCUUCUCCCUGCUCCUGCUUGUGAGGUGGAUUCACUCCCGGUCAGAUCAGAGGACGAUUUCUGCUGUCUACUCCAUUCUGUAAUCGUGAGUGCAUUUCCUCAAUUUAUAUCUUAAUAAAUUCUGUUACCACUUUAA